rnacentral:rRNA from 1 species
UACGUAGGGUGCAAGCGUUAUCCGGAAUUAUUGGGCGUAAAGAGCUCGUAGGCGGUUUGUCGCGUCUGCUGUGAAAACUGGAGGCUCAACCUCCAGCCUGCAGUGGGUACGGGCAAGCUAGAGUGCGGUAGGGGAGAUUGGAAUUCCUGGUGUAGCGGUGGAAUGCGCAGAUAUCAGGAGGAACACCGAUGGCGAAGGCAGAUCUCUGGGCCGUAACUGACGCUGAGGAGCGAAAGCAUGGGGAGCGAACAGG